CUGGCAACCAACCACUGCCCUAGCAACCAAAAAGGCACUAUGAAGAGGAUGAAAACUCCAAGAGGUCCGGAGUAGAAUGGAUACUACCUCCACUGAACUGUAGCUUUGCAGGUCAAGGACCAACCUGCAGCCCUCUAUGGACCAAUGAGACAUCACUGAAUCCGCAGUGGUCCCUUUGGCAGCAUUAUGUUCUCAAACUAAAGAAAGGAAUCAUCUUGACAUAGACCUCAGCUUCCCUGCUCUAUGCAGCCAGUACAGCUGGACAGACACUGGAGGCACAUAAUCCAACAAGAAGCACACAAAGGCUCUGAACACAGAAGAGAAAGGCCUACCAUGCUACUCUGGCUGACACAGUCUGAGAAAGCGUUCAGAUGCAACAAGGACAGGUUUAUUAUUUGGCUGGAAUUAUUGAAAAGUAAUUGUAAAAUAGAUUCUAGAGAAAGUAUUAAAAAAGUAUUAAAGUAUUAAAAUAUUUUGUUACUUAACACUGAGGACAAAAUAAAAGCAAUUGAUAGAUCUGGGAGCUUAGCAUGAGUAAAUAAUGAAAACUUAAGGCUUAUCCAAUUGCUCUCAUGAACUGCUAGUGAAGGGGUAGAAUAUGAGCUGCAGGAAAACGUCUUCAUCUAAAGGUGAACAAAGGCACUAUCAGUAAAGGCAGGAUCAGUUUAGCUCCAGCAGGACCCACCAAAAUAUGGCCGUCUGGCUCCACCACAGAGCCUACAGCCCAUGGUUAAUAAACGCAUAGCUAUAUAUUUCAUUUACUCCAUCUUCAUGGUUAAAAAAAAUUUUGCAAAAUCUGUAUGGGAUUCCAAAUGAAUACAAUUGAGGGAACUUGCAUAAAUGUCUAGCCACAUAUGUACAAAUACAGUCUCCUUUUAUUAAUGUCUUUCACUACUUCUUAGGCUGUUUAAAUGAAGCAUUUAAUAAACUAAAUUAAAACAUUCCCAUCCCUGCGCUUCUCAGAUAACAUUGCAUAUAAUCAGAAGAAUAACCCAUAGAAGAACUUAUCACCUACUCCUUGAAAUGCCUUUGUUAAGAAAAAGAAAUUUAAUCCCUUCCUAAUUAUCAUUUUAUUUGGGUCAUUUGAAUUUAAGGAACUUGCUCUUCCUUUGUCCUUGUUCUAGUUUCCUCUGAGAUAAUUUUCUUCAUAGUGAUUGGUAUGAUGCUAUGUUUUCGAUUUAGGAUGAGAAUAAUGUUGAUAACACACCAAUAUUUUAGUUGUUGCUGAGUGGUGCUGCACAAAGUCAAGGACAUUUCUGCUUCUCACAGUGCCAUGCCAGCAAGGAGAUUGGAGAAGCUGAUCUAAUCUGGCCAAAGUGAUUUCUCAUACCACGUGGCAUUGUGCUGGAAAAUAAAAUUGAGGGGAGUUGGUCAGGGGAUUGCUCUGGCUGGGCAUCAGUUGGCAGUGAUGAGCAAUUGCAUUUUGCAUCAUUUAAAAAAAAUAUUUUUCUAUCAUUACUAUCUUAUCUGUCCUUUCAAACCGUCUUCAUCUCAACCUAUGUGUUUUACCCUUUUCUAAUUCUCUUUACCCAACACACUGUAAAGAAGUAAGCAAACAGCUGUGUAGUGCUUGACUCCCUGACUUGUUAAACCACAAAUUCUGUAUAUGAUGCUUCUUUGCACUAACACUUCAUAGAGAAAUACAAUGCCACAUCCCUGAAAGAGAAGUUCAAAUAUAGAAUAACUAUAGCUAUUACUAAGUUUGCAAUAUAUUAUUAUUUAGUCCCUGUAUUUGGUGCAAUUAGUGGGAUUAUCAUUGAUUUCAAAGUUCUUACACAUCUUGUUUCAGGAAAACAUCACAAGCAUGCAGAUUAGCUACGUGCUUCUACUUUUUCUGUCUUUUACAUCACUCUCAUUAUUCAUAUCCCAUUGACAUCACUAAAGACUUCACUGGGAGUAUGGCAGCAGUAGAAUUAGCAGUUGCAAGUAUUAUCCAUUUUCCAGGAAUUGAAGCAACAAUACAUGCAGAAAAGUGUGACUAAGCCAUACACAACCUCUGGAAGAUAAUGUUGCAUUGCAGUUUGCAAUCCCAAGCUUUUAAGUCUUUGAUGCUAGCAUUUCAUGGUUCAAAAUAGAAGAGCUUAUUCACCUCAAAAAACACCUCGUAUUUACAGGUAUGAAAAAGUAAGUCAUCACUAUGAAAUAAAACAGUUCAUAACACUUACUUAGAACAAAAAUAUUUAAUUCAAUUUGACAUGCUAUGAGUUACAAUGGGUUAAGAGAACUAAGGGUUCUCAGGCCUGCAAAAAGGAUAUAGCAAAGGCAGAUGCUGAAGUCUAGGAAAAAUAGACUAAAAAAUAAACAGAUGAGAUCUAAAUAUUAUGCACAGUAUUUAAAAACAAACAGAAAAAAACCCCAACUCUAAUAGAAUAAUCAACAGCUUUGUGAAGUGAAAUAUUCUGUUCAUAAAUCAUGACAGCUCCCCCUGAACUAAGCUGAUUUACAACACAGAACUAAAAACAACAAGCAAAAAAAAAAAAAUCUGGAAAACAAAACACUCAUACAUUACAAAAUAAACCGCAGGAUUAGUAGAAACACAAGAGACUUCUGACGGUCUUUUAAAUAGCUCCAAGGAGAGCUUCAGUCUUCUGAAAUUGAAUUCAUAAGAGUGAAAAUGAAAACAGUCAACCCUGAAACUUUAGCAAAUCGGUUUUUUUUGUUGUUGUUUUUUUUUGUUUUUUUAAAAGAUAGCUUCUAAAUUCAGUAGAAAUUUUUUCCAGUUUCAGUUUAUGACAGGAAGAUUGCUUUUUAAGUAAAAAAUGAAUCAACACUAACUAUGCUUUGGAGACCAUUUAAAUCAGUAACUGGGCUGAAAAUUUCAUAUAUAGCCUUAUCCAAAAGCAAUUUAAUAAGUCAGAAAAUAAUUCCACUCUAAGUAUAUUGGUUAUACUGAAUUCUACUUUUAGUUAUUUUGCAAAGGCAUCUCAUACUUGUUAUGUCUUAACAAACAAGAAUAAAAAUGAGAGAUCCUUAUUUUUAAUAGAAAUCUGAUAAGACACUGAGAGAAAGAGAGAUAAACUUACUGAAAAGAUUUUAAUACCUUCCCAAUAGGAAAAAAAAUCAUAAUUGACUUUUCAGAAGACUAAAAUUUGAGGACAACUUUACGAUUUACCCAAAGUGUGCUUCUACAGUAAUUAAGAUUUCCAUCUAAAAGCCAUGGUCCUUGUUUGACUAUCUGAGAGGCACUAAAUCUUCAACUACAUGGAAAAUAACUACAUCUAGUUCAAACAAUAUUACAGGAAUUUCAAACAGUAAGCUUCUAUCUUCUUCUCCAUAAAAGAGGGCUACUUAACAGAGCAGGUAAAUGCAAAUAACAUAUUUCUUUAAUGCAUGAGAAAGGUAUUCUCAAUUUACAUUUAAAUUAUCAAAUAGCUUUUAAGUUGAUUUGUCUUCCAAAUCCCAGUUCCAUUAUCAGAAUUACUGCAUGCAUGUUAGUUCACUUUUUGACUCUGUCUGAGGGAACUAAUUUUGAGAGGUUUUUUUUGGUGGUGGUAUUUUUGUUUGUUUGUUUGUUUGUUUUGUUUUGUUUUGUUUUUCCCCUAAAGCAGAAUUUAGGUGAAGUAUAGAGCAUAAUUCACAUUUGUGAGACUCAGCCACUAGCAGAAUUCCACUAAAAUAUGGUUCCUAAAUCUACAUAUCUCUACACAUUUGUUCAGUGGAUUUUGCACUUCCAAAUUCUCAAUAGAAGACCUUCAGCAGGACAUGUGAUUUAUAGGAAGCUGUAAAAAAAAAAAAAAAAAAAAAAAAAAAAAAAGGAAGCAAAAGUAGAGCAUCUGACUUAAUGUUCUAUGAACUAAGAACCACUUGCAAAAAUAUUUCGUAACUACAGAAAUGCCACGUGGAUCUAGAUAAAGUAGAUAUGCCCAGUUGUUAUGGAGGGUGUCUUUGAUAGGAAGGGAUCCAGGAUCAAGUCAGUGCCCAGCACUAGAUCAAGGCUAGGUCUCACUCUGCAGAAAGGUGGCUUCAGCAGUGCCUCUGGGAAAAAAAAAAAAAAAAAAAAAAAAACAGAAGAAUUUUCCAAGAAAGAGAACAGAGCAACGGAUUAUCUGUCAAACAGCUCCACAGCCAAAGAUCACUGAAGCAUUGGGUCCUGGCUGAGAGAUAGCACCACAGGUCUCCAAGGGCCACAAACAUUGAAAGAUUGAGGACCUCUGCUGCUCGAUAAUUUUGUCCAGAAGCCCACUGGGGAUUUCCCAUACCACUGGGAUAGUAAACAAUACAGACAGAAGGGAUUUUCCAAUAAAAGUUUCAAAGAAAAAGCAACAACAACAACCACUAGGAAUCCUAAAACCACAGACACAGAAAAUGUGAUGCAGCAUAACACAACUAACAGAAGCAUUGUUCUUCAUCAGUAAAGAAAUCAAAAACAAAACCAAGCAAGACUGUUUUCCCUAAAAAUCUUUCAUUGCAAAUUAAAUACAGUAGUUUAUACGGAACCCAGAAGAGACUGACAUACCUGAUCCAUCAUCAUUUGUAAUUAUUUCCAAUCAUGAAACACUUUUGAGAUACCAAUCUAGAAAUUGAAUCAGAAGGACAUUUACUUUUUAAUAUUAAAAUUUUAUAUGCUAUUCUUAAUAAGCAGACUAGUAGAUAUAAUACAAGAUAAAAUAUCCUAAUUGUUAUUUCACACAUCAUUUCAUACUUACAUACAUCACAUAAAACAAAAAAAAGAUCUGAAAUAUGAUCAGCUAGUGUAGGAGGAAUAAGUCAAGUUGUUUAUCAAGUAGGGAAGUAUGAAAACAAGUAGACUUACACCGCUGAUGUGAAAUAAAGAAUUAGAAAGCAUUACUUUCAAUCUCAACAUGACUAACAGCAACAUUAUUUUAUAUUCUUAAUGACCUCAUAAACAUGCCGCUCUAAUGUCGAACUUGAAACGAUUAUGUUUGUUAUUAUAAAUAUACAGGUAAAUUUUAAUUUUCUAAUAUUUUUAAACCAGAGAUAAAUUCAUUAAAAAAAUGCAUUUUCUGGAAGAAGGAUUUGGCACGGUAUGAAACCAUAUUUCCCCUGGGCUCACAACAUCAAAAAAUACAAUAUUUUUCUGUGUGGUUUCAAAAAUGAGUUCUGUUCAGCUUGAGGGUAGCUUCUACUUUACACUGAAGAAGAGAAAGAUUUACUCACACUCUCCACUGCAAAACUGAAGUAGAUUAUCCCUCA
ensembl:lncRNA